rnacentral:rRNA from 1 species
CGCCGCUCUAGGUCCGCCCCGGGCCGGCGGCGGCCGCGUACCGGAGGCAGCUGCGGCGCCCACUGGGGGAGGCGAGGAAGCGGAGACGCUGCAGGGAGGAAAAGGCCUGGGAACCGGGACGGCGCCGGAGGCGUAGGGGGAGGUCCCGGGGACCCCGCGACGAGCCGCCUAGGGACUUUGCGAGGUUCCUCGACUACCUCGUCCGGUCGGACCAGAACUUCCUCGCCCCCCUGUAGGUCUUCGAGAUAGUCCUCCUAGCUCACCUACCGUUCUUGUUGGUCGUCCCAUCUUCCGGACCCGACCUGGCGUUCGCCCGAGUCAAGAGAGAGUUCGGGUGGGUUUCGUUGGGUCACUUACAACUAAAGAGGGUCCGCGAAUCGUAACUGCUAGGUCUCCUCAUGAAGAAUUGGAACCUCGCCGAGCUUUUCCGACUGUCCCUCUAUUUUUUCAAUUCUCCACUCCAAGGUUGGUUUUGUCGUUUAAUACUAGCCGGAUAGCUUGGUGGGUUCUUCGCCGGACCUUACAGCUCCUCUUUUAGCCAGAUAAGAAUGUUAAAAUCACACCCGUACCUAUGGAGUCUACCAUGACUUCGUGGGCUAAGGGUCUACCCUUGAAAUGGUCUUAGAGUCAGGUGAGUUCUGCUGUACGGAGGAAGUCAAGGACUUUCUUGGUUCGGUGGCCAGGGAAGUUCAAGAUCGGUUACACUAUAUGUUCUACAGAGUUGCUCUCUUCUAAGGAAACGAUUCUUCCUAUUUCCGCGGUGAGACCUAAGGGAUUACAGUCGUAAGUUUUUAAACCUACGUAGAUUUCUCCUUUCGGACAACGCUCUCUUCAAUGUCUAGUUUCUUUAUUUGUAUCCCCUUCGAACAUAGGGACUGGAUAAGUUACAAGGACCACUAUCCGGACAUUCUUCUUGAUUCGUCUUCAUAGACUGCUCACUAGCAUGAGGUCUUUCUGGACAUAGUCCCUCGGUGGUACGAGGUUAAAGCUUUACCCUAUUUGUGUAUGAACCAGCUCUGUAAGACUUGCUAUUUCGUCUAGAAAGUCUUCUGCUACUUAGACUAUUAAGAGGUCUUUGACAACACCUAUUUGUUAGCGUCCACGUGUCAAGAAUGUUACUACAACAAAACUGCUUGCCACUCCGGAGAUGACGUUCCCUCUGGGGUUGAAGUUAGUAUUUUAAAGGUCUGGUACAAGAACUUGGUCUUCUCGUGUACGGUCACUUAGUGGGUAAAUGGCUCUCCGGUUUAUUACUUGGUCUUUGAAGAAGAGUAGUAAACCUUCCACUUUGUUGUUUUCACGACCCAUCACGUGGUCCAUCCUUACGCAGUCACAACGUACCACUUCUACUGUUAUAGCCUAUAGUCCCUCACGAACCUCCCCUGUACGAACACGUUCUACUUGGUUAGGUAGGUGGCCUUUAUGGAGGUCUACGCGUAUUAGUCAGAGUAUAAGUCCUACUUCUACAACUCUUUGUCCGUCAACUAUAUUCGGUACUUGAGGGAGACUCGUUUCCACCAUUCGUUUUACGUCAGGUUUUUUCUUUUUUGUUCUUCGUCAGUCGUUUCUCUCCUUUUUCUCAAAGUCUAUUCGGUUAGGUAUGUAGUCUUUAUGGAGGUCUUCUAUAACAGGGUGUCUUAUUGAGAGUACAAGUACUUCCUUUGAAGCUCUUUGGACGUCAACCAUGUUCGUUACUUGAGAGGGGUUCGUUUCUAUCAUUCGUUUUCGCUCAAGUUUUACUCCUCAGAUUCUUCGUCGGUAACUUCUCUUACUUUUCUCCCCGUCUUCUCCGUUCGUUAGGUAACCCUUAUGGGGGCCUUUUAACACUAUGUCUCUGAGUUGGAUCAUACGUUCUAUGUUUAUAGCUCGUCGUCUGCCAACUAUGUUCCCAAAGUGCCAGGGGUUUGUUUCCAUUUAACGUUUUCCUUCCAGUUUCCUCUUUCUUCUCCGUUCUUCACUUAUCUUCCUUUUCGGACUGUCGUAAACCAGAACGCACCGUUAGACCGCACUCUGCGUCGUGUUCUUAUGCCAGGUCCGGUAACGUCCUAACCGAACCGCUUUCCGAGGAUAUACCCGCAUAUGUACUGUGUUACCGGUGUCAGUAGCCGCACUUUAGUAUAAGAGGGUCAGUUCUACCGUUCCAACUUAACUCUCACUUUAGGAAGCACGGUCUUGUCAUGAGUCUAUACCAUCGAGUUCGACGUUUCAUAACUCCAAUGACCGGAACUGUUUAGAGUGAAACAAGACCCUGUUCAGCAAAACACCGGUUCUCCCAGCCAUCGUAAAGUCCACGAAAGAGUACGACACGGUAGAUAGAAAGAUUUUCUCAAAACGUGUUACAUCACGUUGGUACGACAAUUGUAGGUUCUGGUACAUCUUUAUACCUACAUCAUCAUCUGUGUUCUUAAUAGAAGUGGAAACAAUCGACAAAAAUCACAGUAGAGACCUACUAUACUACAGUUAACAGAGAUCAAACAUAUACGUCCUUCAGGGAACAGCAUACUAUUUUAAUAGCAUGAUACAAAUUUACGCAGCCUUGGUCGAUACCGGACGGUAAAACAUACACGUCCGCGCAAGAGGUUCACUUUCAAGGAGUCUCCUUAAAAAGACGAUACACGUAAACUUCAACAUACUCCUACUCUGCUAAAGUCACCAUGACUGUAGACGUAAGCGUACCAAACUUCCCAGAAAAAGAGG